rnacentral:rRNA from 1 species
UACGUAGGGGCUAGCGUUGUCCGGAUUUAUUGGGCGUAAAGAGCGUGUAGGCGGCCAGGUAGGUCCGGUGUGAAAACUCGAGGCUUAACCUCGAGAUGUCAUCGGAAACCAUCUGGCUAGAGUCCGGAAGAGGAAAGUGGAAUUCCUGGUGUAGCGGUGAAAUGCGCAGAUAUCAGGAAGAACACCCGUGGCGAAAAGCGGCUCUCUGGAAACGGGUACUGACGCUAGACGCGAAAAAGCGUGGGGGGAGCAAAACAGGG